GCAGUGUGUGUGUUGUGUUAGUGUAUGCAGUGUGUGUGUUAUUGUAUGCAGUGUGUGUUGUUAGUGUGUGAUCUGGGGUGAGGGGGAGGAAGGGGCAUUUUAACAUUAAUUUUUUAUUAAUUUAAUUAAAUGUUUCUCCCCCCUCCCUGCUUACCUGUGUCCAGGGAGGGGGGAGAUUCCAUCCCUGGUGGUCCGGUGGGG